rnacentral:tRNA from 1 species
GUAGACAUAGUUUAACAAAAACAUUAGAUUGUGAAUCUAACAAUAAAAGACUAACCCUUUUUGUCUACC